rnacentral:rRNA from 1 species
CCUACGGGCGGCAGCAGUGAGGAAUAUUGGUCAAUGGACGAGAGUCUGAACCAGCCAAGUAGCGUGAAGGAUGACUGCCCUUUGGGUUGUAAACUUCUUUUAUAAAGGAAUAAAACGAGGCACGUGUGCCUUUUUGCAUGUACUUUAUGAAUAAGGAUCGGCUAACUCCGUGCCAGCAGCCGCGGUAAUACGGAGGAUCCGAGCGUUAUCCGGAUUUAUUGGGUUUAAAGGGAGCGUAGAUGGGUUGUUAAGUCAGUUGUGAAAGUUUGCGGCUCAACCGUAAAAUUGCAAUUGAUACUGGCAGUCGUGAGUACAGUUGAGGUAGGCGGAAUUCGUGGUGUAGCGGUGAAAUGCUUAGAUAUCACGAAGAACCCCGAUUGCGAAGGCAGCUUACUAAACUGUGACUGACAUUGAUGCUCGAAAGUGUGGGUAUCAAACAGGAUUAGAUACCUAGUAGUC